rnacentral:rRNA from 1 species
AAUAGAUACCCCGGUAGUCCACGCCGUAAACGGUGGGCACUAGGUGUGGGCGACAUUCCACGUCGUCCGUGCCGCAGCUAACGCAUUAAGUGCCCCGCCUGGGGAGUACGGCCGCAAGGCUAAAAACUCAAAGGAAUUGACGGGGGCCCGCACAAGCGGCGGAGCAUGUGGCUUAAUUCGACGCAACGCGAAGAACCUUACCAAGGCUUGACAUACACCGGAAACGUCCAGAGAUGGGCGCCCCCUUGUGGUCGGUGUACAGGUGGUGCAUGGCUGUCGUCAGCUCGUGUCGUGAGAUGUUGGGUUAAGUCCCGCAACGAGCGCAACCCUUGUCCCGUGUUGCCAGCAGGCCCUUGUGGUGCUGGGGACUCACGGGAGACCGCCGGGGUCAACUCGGAGGAAGGUGGGGACGACGUCAAGUCAUCAUGCCCCUUAUGUCUUGGGCUGCACACGUGCUACAAUGGCCGGUACAAUGAGCUGCGAUACCGCGAGGUGGAGCGAAUCUCAAAAAGCCGGUCUCAGUUCGGAUUGGGGU